UUUUUUUUUUCAAAAUUAGAAACUCACGUGUAUUAGCACAAUGGUUAUACAAUAUUGACAAUGAGCUGCAAAAUGAAAAAGCAAAAGCAUAGAAUUAAAAGAAAUAACCGUACAUAUACAAUAUAAACGGCUAUGCUCAUUUGAUCUUUUCUUAGGUGUCUUGUAAUUCAGAUUCAGUGUCAUGACAGGAGGAGGAGUUUAGCACAGACACUCACACUACUUUUCUGUGUAAAGAUGAGCUACACAACACUGGAGCAGCUGCUGUUCUUGUCAGUUCAGUGAAGGAACAUGUUGAUCAUAUUGAUACUGCUGUCAUCAACUGAAGGCUCCAGAGCCACAGAAGUCAUCACUCCAAAAAGUGAGAGAGUAUUUGCACUUGAGGGUGACAAUGUGACACUCUCUUGUAACUACAGCCUUUCUGCUCGUGGAGUUCACUGGUAUCGCCAAUACACAGGCUCACCACCACAGUUCCUCAUACUGGAAGAUUCAGGCGUAACUACUAAAGCUGAUCCCCCUGUUCCAAGAGUAACCGUCAAGCACACAAAAGGAGAACGGCAUGUGUAUCUGGAGAUCUCCUCUGCUGAAGUGUCAGACUCUGCUCUCUAUUACUGUGCUCUGCAGCCCACAGUCACAGGAAACCUUAUAACACUGUACAAAAAAACAGUUUUCAUCUGCUUAUCAAGCCUUAAAAUGUACAAACCACAGCUGGACUCAACAACACAAAUGUAA